CAGCAGCUGAGACUGGCAGAAACU
rnacentral:piRNA from 1 species